UACGUAGGGUGCGAGCGUUGUCCGGAAUUAUUGGGCGUAAAGAGCUCGUAGGCGGUGUGUCACGUCGGCCGUGAAAACCUGCAGCUUAACUGUGGGCGUGCGGUCGAUACGGGCAUCACUGGAGUUCGGCAGGGGAGACUGGAAUUCCUGGUGUAGCGGUGAAAUGCGCAGAUAUCAGGAGGAACACCGGUGGCGAAGGCGGGUCUCUGGGCCGAUACUGACGCUGAGGAGCGAAAGCGUGGGGAGCAAACAAG
rnacentral:rRNA from 1 species